rnacentral:rRNA from 1 species
AUUGAACGCUGGCGGCAGGCCUAACACAUGCAAGUCGAGCGAGCGGCGGACGGGAGACUAAGGUCUGGGAAUCUGCGUGGUGGAGGGGGAUCAGUACGGGAAACGGUAGCUAACACCGUCUAGCAUACGCUGUGCCGAGGUGGGAUUAGCUAGGGGGUGGGGUAAUGGCUAACCUAGGUGACGAACUCUAGCUGGUGUGAGAGGAUGACCAGCCACACUGGUACUGAGACACGGUCCAGACUCCUACGGGAGGCAGCAGUGGGGAAUAUUGCACAAUGGGCGCAAGCCUGAUACAGCCAUGCCGCGUGUGUGAAGAAGGCCUUCGGGUUGUAAAGCACUUUCAGCGAGGAGGCGUUACUCGCAGAAGAAGCACCGGCUAACUCCGUGCCAGCAGCCGCGGUAAUUC